rnacentral:sRNA from 12 species
UACGCCAUGCGUAGGUUUGGUGGACGGGGAUUGUUGUCAAGACUUCCAGUAAGAUUCUGAUACAGAAUUUCUGG